rnacentral:tRNA from 1 species
GGGCCCGUGGCGCAGUUGGUAGCGCGCCUCAUUUGCAAUGAGGAGGUCAGCGGUUCAAACCCGCUCGGGUCCACCA